UGUCAAGGCGGCCCUAUUAGUCUCUUGUAAAAUCCGUGGGCCUAACCUACGGCGCGCAAGGGAAACGGUAAGGCUCGAGGACGCGAGAGGUGCACGGAACUCAUGGUGGAGGGGUGAAAUCCGUUGAUAUCAUGGGGAACACCGAAAGCGAAGGCAGUGCACUGGCGCGUUCCUGACGCUCACACACGAAAGCCAGGGGAGCGAACG
rnacentral:rRNA from 1 species